rnacentral:rRNA from 1 species
GUAACACAAUAACCCUUGUCGUUUUUUGUGCACCCUUUGUUUCCUCGGCAGCUUUGCCUGCCAACGAGGACCCCCUAAAAACCUUUUGCAAUUUAGUAUAACAAUCAGAAAACAAACAAUAUUAAAACUUUCAACAAUGGAUCUCUUGGCUCUGGCAUCGAUGAAGAACGCAGCGAAAUGCGAUAAGUAGUGUGAAUUGCAGAAUUCAGUGAAUCAUCGAAUCUUUGAACGCACAUUGCGCCCUUUGGUAUUCCUUAGGGCAUGCCUGUUCGAGCGUCAUUUACAAAUUCAAGCUCAGCUUGGUGAUGGGUGUCUGUCCCGCCUUCGCGUGUGGACUCGCCUCAAAUGCAGUUGGCAGCUUGUUCCUCGGCUCUAAACGCAGCAGAUUUGCGUCGAGCGUCGGGUGGACGGGCUCUCCAGUAAGCAAACCCUCAUAAAUUGACCUCGGAUCAGGUAGGGAUACCCGCUGAACUUAAGCAUAUC